rnacentral:rRNA from 1 species
AGAGUUUGAUCAUGGCUCAGAUUGAACGCUGGCGGAAUGCUUAACACAUGCAAGUCGAGCGGGGUGUAGCAAUACACCUAGCGGCGGACGGGUGAGGAAUACAUAGGAAUCUGCCUCAGAGCGGGGGACAGCCCGGGGAAACCCGGAUUAAUACCGCAUACGACCUGAGGGUGAAAGCGGGGGAUCGCAAGACCUCGCGCUAUUGGAGCGGCCGAUAUCAGAUUAGCUAGUUGGUGGGGUAAAGGCCUACCAAGGCUACGAUCUGUAGUUGGUCUGAGAGGACGACCAGCCACACUGGGACUGAGACACGGCCCAGACUCCUACGGGAGGCAGCAGUGGGGAAUUUUGGACAAUGGGCGCAAGCCUGAUCCAGCAAUGCCGCGUGCAGGAAGAAGGCCUUCGGGUUGUAAACUGCUUUUGUCAGGGAAGAAAUCUUCUGGGCUAAUACCCCGGGAGGAUGACGGUACCUGAAGAAUAAGCACCGGCUAACUACGUGCCAGCAGCCGCGGUAAUACGUAGGGUGCGAGCGUUAAUCGGAAUUACUGGGCGUAAAGCGUGCGCAGGCGGCUUUGCAAGACAGAUGUGAAAUCCCCGGGCUCAACCUGGGAACUGCAUUUGUGACUGCAAGGCUAGAGUACGGCAGAGGGGGAUGGAAUUCCGCGUGUAGCAGUGAAAUGCGUAGAUAUCUGAAGGAACACCAGUGGCGAAGGCGACUCCCUGGACUCAAACUGACGCUGAGGUACGAAAGCGUGGGUAGCAAACAGGAUUAGAUACCCUGGUAGUCC